rnacentral:rRNA from 11 species
ACUUGUACCCUCGGUUCGCUUCUGACACGAUAAAUAAAUACCUGUCCAAAGCUAAUCAGUGUUAGCUUUGGUUAGUACUGAGUUGGGAGACCACCAGAGAAGACUAGGUGCUGUAGGCC